UGCUACAUCAUUUAUCUGAGCAUUGA
rnacentral:misc_RNA from 1 species